GACCGCUGCAGUGGCCUAGUGGUUAGAGCGUUCGCUUCGGAUGCGGAGGAUCGCGGGUUCGAACCCUGGCCGAGUCA